UACAGAGGUCCCGAGCGUUGUUCGGAUUCAUUGGGCGUAAAGGGUGUGUAGGCGGUCGGGUAAGUCAGGUGUGAAAUCUCAGAGCUUAACUCUGAAACUGCGCUUGAUACUGCCCGGCUAGAGGAUCGGAGGGGGUAACGGAAUUCAUGGUGUAGCAGUGAAAUGCGUAGAUAUCAUGAGGAACACCGGUGGCGAAGGCGGUUACCUGGAAGAUUCCUGACUCUGAAACACGAAAGCCAGGGGAGCAAACGGG
rnacentral:rRNA from 1 species